rnacentral:rRNA from 1 species
AGCGAACGCUGGCGGCAGGCCUAACACAUGCAAGUCGAACGAAGUCUUCGGACUUAGUGGCGGACGGGUGUGUAACACGUGGGAACGUACCUUUUGGUUCGGAACAACUCAGGGAAACUUGAGCUAAUACCGGAUGAGCCCUUAGGGGGAAAGAUUUAUCGCCGAAAGAGCGGCCCGCGUUAGAUUAGCUAGUUGGUGAGGUAAAGGCUCACCAAGGCUACGAUCUAUAGCUGGUCUGAGAGGAUGAUCAGCCACACUGGGACUGAGACACGGCCCAGACUCCUACGGGAGGCAGCAGUGGGGAAUCUUGCGCAAUGGGCGAAAGCCUGACGCAGCCAUGCCGCGUGAAUGAUGAAGGUCUGAGGAUUGUAAAAUUCUUUUACCAGGGACGAUAAUGACGGUACCGGGAGAAAAAGCCCCGGCUAACUUCGUGCCAGCCGCCGCGGUAAUAC